rnacentral:rRNA from 1 species
UACGUAGGUAGCAACCGUCGUCCGGAAUUACUGGGUGUAAAGGGCGUGUAGGCGGGACUGCAAGUCAGAUGUGAAAUUCCCAGGCUCAACCUGGGGGCUGCAUCUGAAACUGUGGUUCUUGAGUGCUGGAGAGGAAAGCGGAAUUCCUAGUGUAGCGGUGAAAUGCGUAGAUAUUAGGAGGAACACCAGUGGCGAAGGCGGCUUUCUGGACAGUAACUGACGCUGAGGCGCGAAAGCGUGGGGAGCAAACAGG